UGGAAGUGCAAAGUCAAGGUGUUGGCAGG
rnacentral:piRNA from 1 species